rnacentral:lncRNA from 1 species
CAUGACCCGGUUCAUUUCCGUUCCCAAUUACUCUGAAUCAACCGCCGAUCUAUAGGCCACCGUCGCAAGAUGCGCCGUCGGGGAGGACUUCUUUUUACCAAUCCCCAUCGCCUUAUGGGAUUCAAAUACCUCCGCCAUAGGUAAUGCAAACACCUCCGCAGUCAUUAUUCUAUCAAGGUGGCUCAUCCUCCCAACACCCACAACUAGAUCUCC